rnacentral:rRNA from 1 species
GCUCGUAGGCGGUUUGUCGCGUCUGCUGUGAAAUCCCGAGGCUCAACCUCGGGCCUGCAGUGGGUACGGGCAGACUAGAGUGCGGUAGGGGAGAUUGGAAUUCCUGGUGUAGCGGUGGAAUGCGCAGAUAUCAGGAGGAACACCGAUGGCGAAGGCAGAUCUCUGGGCCGUAACUGACGCUGAGGAGCGAAAGGGUGGGGAGCAAACAGGCUUAGAUACCCUGGUAGUCCACCCCGUAAACGUUGGGAACUAGUUGUGGGGACCAUUCCACGGUUUCCGUGACGCAGCUAACGCAUUAAGUUCCCCGCCUGGGGAGUACGGCCGCAAGGCUAAAACUCAAAGGAAUUGACGGGGACCCGCACAAGCGGCGGAGCAUGCGGAUUAAUUCGAUGCAACGCGAAGAACCUUACCAAGGCUUGACAUACACCAGAACGGGCCAGAAAUGGUCAACUCUUUGGACACUGGUGAACAGGUGGUGCAUGGUUGUCGUCAGCUCGUGUCGUGAGAUGUUGGGUUAAGUCCCGCAACGAGCGCAACCCUCGUUCUAUGUUGCCAGCACGUAAUGGUGGGAACUCAUGGGAUACUGCCGGGGUCAACUCGGAGGAAGGUGGGGAUGACGUCAAAUCAUCAUGCCCCUUAUGUCUUGGGCUUCACGCAUGCUACAAUGGCCGGUACAAAGGGCUGCAAUACCGUGAGGUGGAGCGAAUCCCAAAAAGCCGGUCCCAGUUCGGAUUGAGGUCUGCAACUCGACCUCAUGAAGUCGGAGUCGCUA